AGUGAACGCUGGCGGUAGGCCUAACACAUGCAAGUCGAACGGCAGCACAGUAAGAGUUUGCCUUGACGGGUGGCGAGUGGCGGACGGGUGAGGAAUACAUCGGAAUCUACUUUUUCGUGGGGGAUAACGUAGGGAAACUUACGCUAAUACCGCAUACGACCUACGGGUGAAAGCAGGGGACCUUCGGACCUUGCGCGAAUGAAGGAGCCGAUGUCGGAUUAGCUAGUUGGCGGGGUAAAGGCCCACCUAGGCGACGAUCCGUAGCCCGUCUGAGAGGAUGAUCAGCCACACUGGCACUGAGACACGGUCCAGACUCCUACGGGAGGCAGCAGUGGGGAAUCUUGGACAAUGGGCGCAAGCCUGAUCCAGCCAUACCGCGUCGGUGAAGAAGGCCUUCGGGUUGUAAAGCCCUUUUGUUGGGAAAGAAAAGCAGCAGGUUAAAACCCCGCUGUUCUGACGGUACCCAAAGAAUAAGCACCGGCUAACUUCGUG
rnacentral:rRNA from 1 species